UACGAAGGGGGCUAGCGUUGCUCGGAAUCAUUGGGCGUAAAGGGUGCGUAGGCGGCGCGGUAAGUCGGGUGUGAAAUCUCGGAGCUUAACUCCGAAACUGCAUUCGAUACUGCCGUGCUUGAGGACUGGAGAGGAGACUGGAAUUCAUGGUGUAGCAGUGAAAUGCGUAGAGAUCAUGGAGGAAGACCAGUGGCGAAGGCGGGUCUCUGGACAGUUCCUGACACUGA
rnacentral:rRNA from 1 species